GCCUGGCUGGCUCGGUUAGUGGGGCGUCUGACUCUUGAUCUCAGGGUCGUGAGUUCAAGCCCCACGUCGGGCG
rnacentral:tRNA from 1 species